UCACUUUGGCAGUGCAUAUAGUAAAAUUAGCAUGAUACAAAACAGACAAGCAUGGUCUCUGCAUAAGGAUGACAUGCAUGUUUGUGAAGUGUUCCUUUUUUUA